UACGUAGGGUCCGAGCGUUGUCCGGAAUUACUGGGCGUAAAGAGCUCGUAGGCGGUCUGUUACGUCCGCUGUGAAAACCCAGGGCUUAACCCUGGGCUUGCAGUGGAUACGGGCAGACUAGAGGCAGGUAGGGGAGAAUGGAAUUCCCGGUGUAGCGGUGAAAUGCGCAGAUAUCGGGAGGAACACCGGUGGCGAAGGCGGUUCUCUGGGCCUGACCUGACGCUGAGGAGCGAAAGCGUGGGGAGCGAACAGG
rnacentral:rRNA from 1 species